rnacentral:rRNA from 1 species
ACCCCAGACUCCUACGGGAGGCAGCAGUCGGGAAUAUUGCGCAAUGGAGGAAACUCUGACGCAGUGACGCCGCGUAUAGGAAGAAGGUUUUCGGAUUGUAAACUAUUGUCGUUAGGGAAGAUACAAGACAGUACCUAAGGAGGAAGCCCCGGCUAACUAUGUGCCAGCAGCCGCGGUAAUACGUAUGGUGCAAGCGUUAUCCGGAUUUACUGGGUGUAAAGGGAGCGCAGGCGGCACGGCAAGCCUGAUGUGAAAGCCCGCGGCCCAACCGCGGGACUGCAUUGGGAACUACCGGGCUGGAGUGCCGGAGAGGUAGGCGGAAUUCCUAGUGUAGCGGUGAAAUGCGUAGAUAUUAGGAGGAACACCAGUGGCGAAGGCGGCCUACUGGACGGUGACUGACGCUGAGGCUCGAAAGCGUGGGGAGCAAACAGGAUUAGAUACCCCGGUA